rnacentral:rRNA from 1 species
AAUCCGAUGCAAACUGCGAAUACCGGAGAAUGUUAUCACGGGAGACACACGGCGGGUGCUAACGUCCGUCGUGAAGAGGGAAACAACCCAGACCGCCAGCUAAGGUCCCAAAGUCAUGGUUAAGUGGGAAACGAUGUGGGAAGGCCCAGACAGCCAGGAUGUUGGCUUAGAAGCAGCCAUCAUUUAAAGAAAGCGUAAUAGCUCACUGGUCGAGUCGGCCUGCGCGGAAGAUGUAACGGGGCUAAACCAUGCACCGAAGCUGCGGCAGCGAACGUAUCACCCAAGACAACUUUGCACAGUUGACGAUUGACGGAGCGAAGCGACGUCAAAGCGUUUUACAACGUCGAGUUGGCUUAGGGAUACGUUCGUUGGGUAGGGGAGCGUUCUGUAAGCCGUUGAAGGUGUGUCGUGAGGCAUGCUGGAGGUAUCAGAAGUGCGAAUGCUGACAUAAGUAACGAUAAAGCGGGUGAAAAGCCCGCUCGCCGGAAGACCAAGGGUUCCUGUCCAACGUUAAUCGGGGCAGGGUGAGUCGACCCCUAAGGCGAGGCCGAAAGGCGUAGUCGAUGGGAAACGGGUUAAUAUUCCCGUACUUGGUGUUACUGCGAAGGGGGGACGGAGAAGGCUAUGUUGGCCGGGCGACGGUUGUCCCGGUUUAAGCGUGUAGGCUGACUUUCCAGGCAAAUCCGGAGAGUCAAGGCUGAGGCGUGACGACGAGGCACCACGGUGCUGAAGCAACAAAUGCCCUGCUUCCAGGAAAAGCCUCUAAGCCUCAGGUAACAUCAAAUCGUACCCCAAACCGACACAGGUGGUCAGGUAGAGAAUACCAAGGCGCUUGAGAGAACUCGGGUGAAGGAACUAGGCAAAAUGGUGCCGUAACUUCGGGAGAAGGCACGCUGACACGUAGGUGAAGCGGUUUACCCGUGGAGCUGAAGUCAGUCGAAGAUACCAGCUGGCUGCAACUGUUUAUUAAAAACACAGCACUGUGCAAACACGAAAGUGGACGUAUACGGUGUGACGCCUGCCCGGUGCCGGAAGGUUAAUUGAUGGGGUCAGCGCAAGCGAAGCUCCUGAUCGAAGCCCCGGUAAACGGCGGCCGUAACUAUAACGGUCCUAAGGUAGCGAAAUUCCUUGUCGGGUAAGUUCCGACCUGCACGAAUGGCGUAAUGAUGGCCAGGCUGUCUCCACCCGGGACUCAGUGAAAUUGAACUCGCUGUGAAGAUGCAGUGUACCCGCGGCAAGACGGAAAGACCCCGUGAACCUUUACUAUAGCUUGACACUGAACACUGGUCCUUGAUGUGCAGGAUAGGUGGGAGGCUUUGAAGUGUGGACGCCAGUCUGCAUGGAGCCAUCCUUGAAAUACCACCCUUUAAUGGCUGGUGUUCUAACGUGGACCCGUAAUCCGGGUUGCGGACAGUGUCUGGUGGGUAGUUUGACUGGGGCGGUCUCCUCCUAAAGAGUAACGGAGGAGCACGAAGGUUGGCUAAUCCUGGUCGGACAUCAGGAGGUUAGUGCAAUGGCAUAAGCCAGCUUGACUGCGAGCGUGACGGCGCGAGCAGGUGCGAAAGCAGGUCAUAGUGAUCCGGUGGUUCUGAAUGGAAGGGCCAUCGCUCAACGGAUAAAAGGUACUCCGGGGAUAACAGGCUGAUACCGCCCAAGAGUUCAUAUCGACGGCGGUGUUUGGCACCUCGAUGUCGGCUCAUCACAUCCUGGGGCUGAAGUAGGUCCCAAGGGUAUGGCUGUUCGCCAUUUAAAGUGGUACGCGAGCUGGGUUUAGAACGUCGUGAGACAGUUCGGUCCCUAUCUGCCGUGGGCGCUGGAAGAUUGAGGGGGGCUGCUCCUAGUACGAGAGGACCGGAGUGGACGCAUCACUGGUGUUCGGGUUGUCAUGCCAAUGGCACUGCCCGGUAGCUACAUGCGGAAGAGAUAAGUGCUGAAAGCAUCUAAGCACGAAACUUGCCCCGAGAUGAAUCUUCCCUGAGCCUUUAAGGCUCCUGAAGGAACGUUGAAGACGACGACGUUGAUAGGCCGGGUGUGUAAGCGCAGCGAUGCGUUGAGCUAACCGGUACUAAUGAACCGUGAGGCUUAACCUU